rnacentral:rRNA from 1 species
GACAGAGGUGCCGAGCGUUAGGCGGAAUCGCUGGGCUUAAAGCGUGUGUAGGCGGAUCGUUAAGUGCCUUGUGAAAUCCCACGGCUCAACCGUGGAACUGCUUGGCAUACUGGCGAUCUUGAGCCACCUAGGGGCAACUGGAACAAGCGGUGGAGCGGUGAAAUGCGUAGAUAUCGCUUGGAACGCCAAUGGUGAAAACAGGUUGCUGGGGGUGUGCUGACGCUGAGACACGAAAGCCAGGGGAGCGAACGGG